rnacentral:rRNA from 1 species
GAUGAACGCUAGCGGGAGGCCUAACACAUGCAAGCCGAGCGGUAUUUGUUCUUCGGAACAGAGAGAGCGGCGCACGGGUGCGGAACACGUGUGCAACCUGCCUUUAUCUGGGGGAUAGCCUUUCGAAAGGAAGAUUAAUACCCCAUAAUAUAUUGAGUGGCAUCACUUGAUAUUGAAAACUCCGGUGGAUAGAGAUGGGCACGCGCAAGAUUAGAUAGUUGGUGAGGUAACGGCUCACCAAGUCAAUGAUCUUUAGGGGGCCUGAGAGGGUGAUCCCCCACACUGGUACUGAGACACGGACCAGACUCCUACGGGAGGCAGCAGUGAGGAAUAUGGGACAAUGGGUUAGCGCCUGAUCCAGCCAUCCCGCGUGAAGGACGACGGCCCUAUGGGUGGUAAACUUCUUUUGGAUAGGGAUAAACCUACUCUCGUGAGAGUAGCUGAAGGUACUAUACGAAUAAGCACCGGCUAACUCCGUG